GAUGAACGCUAGCGGGAGGCUUAACACAUGCAAGGUCGAGGGGCAGCAUAGGGUAGCAAUACUCUGAUGGCGACCGGCAAACGGGUGAGUAACGCGUAUGCAACCUACCCUGUACAGGGGGAUAACCCGGAGAAAUUCGGACUAAUAUCCCGUAAUAAUAUCCGGAGGCAUCUUUGGAUAUUUAAAGUUCGACGGUACGGGAUGGGCAUGCGUAACAUUAGCUGGUUGGUAAGGUAACGGCUUACCAAGGCUAUGAUGUUUAGGGGUCCUGAGAGGGUGGUCCCCCACACUGGUACUGAGACACGGACCAGACUCCUACGGGAGGCAGCAGUGAGGAAUAUUGGUCAAUGGGCGCAAGCCUGAACCAGCCAUCCCGCGUGCAGGAAGACGGCCCUAUGGGUUGUAAACUGCUUUUCCAGGGAGAGAAACUUACGCACGUGUUGCGUGACUGACGGUACCCUGGGAAUAAGCAUCGGCUAACUCCGUG
rnacentral:rRNA from 1 species